rnacentral:rRNA from 1 species
UGGGGAAUAUUGCACAAUGGGGGAAACCCUGAUGCAGCGACGCCGCGUGAGCGAAGAAGGCUUUCGAGUCGUAAAGCUCUGUCCUAUGAGAAGAUAAUGACGGUAUCAUAGGAGGAAGCCCUGGCUAAAUACGUGCCAGCAGCCGCGGUAAUACCUAUGGGGCGAGCGUUGUCCGGAAUUAUUGGGCGUAAAGGGUACGUAGGUGGUUUUUUAAGUCAGGUGUCAAAGCGUGGAGCUUAACUCCAUUAAGCACUUGAAACUGAAAGACUUGAGUGAAGGAGAGGAAAGUGGAAUUCCUAGUGUAGCGGUGAAAUGCGUAGAUAUUAGGAGGAAUACCGGUGGCGAAGGCGACUUUCUGGACUUUUACUGACGCUCAGGUACGAAAGCGUGGGGAGCAAACAGG